GGCGUAAAGGGCUCGCAGGCGGUUUCUUAAGUCUGAUGUGAAAGCCCCCGGCUCAACCGGGGAGGGUCAUUGGAAACUGGGGAACUUGAGUGCAGAAGAGGAGAGUGGAAUUCCACGUGUAGCGGUGAAAUGCGUAGAGAUGUGGAGGAACACCAGUGGCGAAGGCGACUCUCUGGUCUGUAACUGACGCUGAGGAGCGAAAGCGUGGGGAGCGAACAGGAUUAGAUACCCUGGUAGUCCACGCCGUAAACGAUGAGUGCUAAGUGUUAGGGGGUUUCCGCCCCUUAGUGCUGCAGCUAACGCAUUAAGCACUCCGCCUGGGGAGUACGGUCGCAAGACUGAAACUCAAAGGAAUUGACGGGGGCCCGCACAAGCGGUGGAGCAUGUGGUUUAAUUCGAAGCAACGCGAAGAACCUUACCAGGUCUUGACAUCCUCUGACACUCCUAGAGAUAGGACGUCCCCUUCGGGGGCAGAGUGACAGGUGGUGCAUGGUUGUCGUCAGCUCGUGUCGUGAGAUGUUGGGUUAAGUCCCGCAACGAGCGCAACCCUUGAUCUUAGUUGCCAGCAUUCAGUUGGGCACUCUAAGGUGACUGCCGGUGACAAACCGGAGGAAGGUGGGGAUGACGUCAAAUCAUCAUGCCCCUUAUGACCUGGGCUACACACGUGCUACAAUGGACAGAACAAAGGGCAGCGAAACCGCGAGGUUAAGCCAAUCCCACAAAUCUGUUCUCAGUUCGGAUCGCAGUCUGCAACUCGACUGCGUGAAGCUGGAAUCGCUAGUAAUCGCGGAUCAGCAU
rnacentral:rRNA from 1 species